rnacentral:rRNA from 1 species
GACGAACGCUGGCGGCGUGCCUAACACAUGCAAGUCGAACGAGGUCCAUGGGAGCUUGCUUCCGGAAGACCUAGUGGCGAACGGGUGAGUAACACGUGAGGAACUUGCCCCAGACUCGGGGAUAACUCAGGGAAACUUGAGCUAAUACCGGAUACCCUCUUUGGAUCGCAUGGUCCGCUGAGGAAAGUUUUUCGGUCUGGGAGAGCCUCGCGGCCUAUCAGCUAGUUGGUGAGGUAACGGCUCACCAAGGCGACGACGGGUAGCUGGUUUGAGAGAACGAUCAGCCACACUGGGACUGAGACACGGCCCAGACUCCUACGGGAGGCAGCAGUGGGGAAUCUUGCGCAAUGGGCGAAAGCCUGACGCAGCAACGCCGCGUGCGGGAUGAAGGCCUUCGGGUUGUAAACCGCUUUCAGCAGGGACGAAGAUGACGGUACCUGCAGAAGAAGCCCCGGCUAACUACGUG